rnacentral:rRNA from 1 species
CCUACGGGUGGCAGCAGUGAGGAAUAUUGGUCAAUGGACGAGAGUCUGAACCAGCCAAGUAGCGUGAAGGAUGACUGCCCUAUGGGUUUUAAACUUCUUUUAUAUGGGAAUAAAAUGUUCCAAGUGUGGGAUUUUGUAUGUACCAUAUGAAUAAGGAUCGGCUAACUCCGUGCCAGCAGCAGCGGUAAUACGGAGGAUCCGAGCGUUAUCCGGAUUUAUUGGGUUUAAAGGGAGCGUAGGUGGAUUUGUCAGUCAGGUGUGAAAGUUUGCGGCUCAACCGUAAAAUUGCAGUUGAAACUGGCAGUCUUGAGUACAGUAGAGGUGGGCGGAAUUCGUGGUGUAGCGGUGAAAGGCUUAGAUAUCACGAAGAACUCCGAUGGCGAAGGCAGCUCACUGGACUGCAACUGACACUGAGGCUCGAAAGUGUGGGUAUCAAACAGGAUUAGAUACCCCAGUAGUC